CGCGUAGGCGGGCCUUCAAGUCGGAUGUGAAAACCCCGGGCUUAACUCGGGGCCUGCAUUCGAAACUGGAGGUCUUGAGUACAGGAGAGGAAAGUGGAAUUCCAGGUGUAGCGGUGAAAUGCGUAGAUAUCUGGAAGAACACCAGUAGCGAAGGCGGCUUUCUGGACUGAUACUGACGCUAAAGCGCGAAGGCUUGGGGAGCAAACA
rnacentral:rRNA from 1 species